CUCCAUGUCGGUGGGAUCCAUCGUUUGGCUCAGACAAGGCUCUUCCUUGACAAAUGGGUCUCAAACAGGACAAAUAUCUGGGCUAUGCUGCUAAAAGAUUCUUUCGAACAUCAUCCAGAAUGAGGGCUUACUCAGCCUCCGAAUGUUCCAAAUCAACAAUCUUAUUGGGAAAGCUAGCAAGGAAGGGAAUUCAACUAGUACCCCCCC
rnacentral:lncRNA from 1 species